UACGGGAGGCAGCAGUAGGGAAUCUUCCGCAAUAGACGAAAGUCUGACGGAGCAACGCCGCGUGAGUGAUGAAGGUUUUCGGAUCGUAAAACUCUGUUGUUAGGGAAGAACAAGUGCCAUUCGAAUAGGUUGGCACCUUGACGGUACCUAACCAGAAAGCCCCGGCUAACUACGUGCCAGCAGCCGCGGUAAUACGUAGGGGGCAAGCGUUGUCCGGAAUUAUUGGGCGUAAAGCGCGCGCAGGCGGUCCUUUAAGUCUGAUGUGAAAGCCCACGGCUUAACCGUGGAGGGCCAUUGGAAACUGGAGGACUUGAGUACAGAAGAGGAGAGUGGAAUUCCACGUGUAGCGGUGAAAUGCGUAGAGAUGUGGAGGAACACCAGUGGCGAAGGCGACUCUCUGGUCUGUAACUGACGCUGAGGUGCGAAAGCGUGGGUAGCGAACAGGAUUAGAUACCCUGGUAGUCCACGCCGUAAACGAU
rnacentral:rRNA from 1 species